ensembl:lncRNA
AAAUAAAAAUGACAAAAAAAAGACUGUCGCCAUCAUUCACAUGUUUCUAUUUCCACGUGUUCGCAACAACCGCAAUGGGAAUUUCAUCCAUCUUUUAAUCAAAACUGUUUGAGAAAUCACACCACCCAACUUCUUCACAAAGGAAAACACUCUUGUCAGUGUGUGGACGACUCGAUGACAGAGUCAACAGUGGUUCUGAUAUAACAUUUCACGAAAGCUGAAAGACAUCCCAAAAGCCCGCAAAGAGGAAGUGGCCACAAAAUAUGAAUACCCAUGGCCUGCUCAAAAUGCAUUCCUCAGUUUUCAGCCUGGGAAAUGACAGAGUUCAUUGUGCAGAUGGGCUCUCUGAUUCCAUCACAAUGGUAUCUCCAUACACUGCCUCUCUCCCUCCCUCUUAGGCAGGGCGAAUCUGCUGGGCUUUAAAUCUUUCUCAGCCAGAAGGAAUUCCGAAAGGAGGAAAACAGCUGGGAAACACAUAUCCAUGCCUCCUGCAAAGAUACAAGAGCAAAUCUUCCAACCCCUAGCUGACAUAGCUAUGCUGAUGGGACCUGAUUCUCUAACUUUUGGGAAGAAACCUGCGUAGACUGACCGUAAAAAGAGCCAGAGGAAUAUAAGAAAAACAAAAUACAGUCUUGAGCCCAGACCUAGGCCAACAUAUGCUGGUGAUUUCACAUGGUGUCACUGCAAGAAGCUGUUGGGAAUGUUGUGGUAUUAAUAGAAUCUAGAUACCAUUUAAUACUUAAAGAGAUGGUUCCUUCACCUAGGACUCAGGAUAGCACAUUCUGCUUACUGAGAAGGGUCACCAAAUGGCAGUGUG